AAACUGGUUCCGCUGGUUAUACCGUCCCACAAUUAGACUGUCUUAGCUGGCGCCUCGCGGUGGAGACGAACAACCUCCAAAACUGGAAAUUGGUGCCUAAAGAAUGUACAAACUAUGUAGGUCAUUACAUGUUAGGCAAACAAUAUCGACGUGACUGUGAGUAUGUUGCCAAACAGGCUAUUGAGUAUGCCAAAACCCUCAAACUUGGCGGAGAUGGAAAGGAUGUUUGGGUAUUUGAUAUUGAUGAGACCACUCUCUCAAAUUCUCCUUACUACGCUCGAUCCGACGUUGCUUUUGGGUAAAAAAUUAAAAACAUUAGUAUAAUAAUUUUUAUGUGUGUGUCCGCUUAUUACGUUUUCUAGUAGGUACAUAGAUAUCUAUAUAUGUAUGAGAAAUUUCAUAAAUAGCGUUAUUAAUUAGCAUCCAUGUUUGCAAAUAUAGUUAAGAUUUUGUUUUAAUCCAAAACAUAUGGAAUAGUAGUAGCAUUUUGAUUUCUAAAUGUAGUAAAAUACACUUACAACAUCGCAUCCUAACUAAAAUUUCAUAUCUGAUUGUAAUUAUAUGUAUGUACGAUCAAGUAGAUAUUCAAUGCAUUUUUGUGCAGGGCUAUAGCGUACAACAACACAAAGUUUAGUGCGUGGCUAGCGGAGGGAAAAGCACCAGCCAUUCCAUCGAUACUGGGUGUAUACAAGACUGUGUUGUCUUUGGGGAUCAAGCCCGUUUUCAUUACAGGGACCAGAGAGAAUUUCAAACAAGUUAGGAUUGUCAAUCUCAAGAAAGUUGGUUAUAGCAACUGGGCAGCGCUUAUACUAAAGUAAGCAAUAUGUUCGUAUUUUCAAUACUGUUACAUAUUUUUUUAUGUAAAUUUAUUUGACUGGACGAUGGAUGACUUUACAGGGGAGAAAAUGAUUCGGGAUCAGCAGUGCAAUUUAAAUCAAGCAAGAGAACAGAAUUGGUUAAAGCUGGAUAUAGAAUUGUUGGUAAUAUUGGAGAUCAAUGGACUGAUUUGAUCGGAGAAAACGUUGGAGCUCGUACAUUCAAAGUCCCUGACCCUAUGUAUUACAUUAGUUGAUUCUAAGCAAAUUUUAAUCAUCAAGCAAGCUAAUUAAUUAACAAAGGGGGGUAGCUUUUUUAUUUCAUGUUUUAUGUCUUUCGACUUUUCCUAUUCACCCUCACUUUGCUAUAAUAACGACUUGCUUCAACAUUUUAAUUGUUUUCUUCUUGGCAAUUUUGUUCCUUUAUCUUAAAAAAACACGCACAUCUCUAUUCAUUUAAUUUCUCAUUGUAGCCUAGACUCAAGAGGAUCAGAUCACCACAUGACGUUAAUUAAUUAAAUUGCGCAACUUAAACAAAGUGCAAUAAUGGAACAGGAAGAAAUUUCUUUUUUUUUUUGUUAUAAAAAUAAACAACCCAUACCUAACGAUUAUUGAAAUUGCUUUGUGCGAUGUGAUAGCUUUAGAUGUUGAAAGGUUUUCAUCAAAUAAUAUGAUUUUUCAUUUAUGGUAUACCUAUACAUUUUUUUAGUUUCAAAAUAUUAUUGUCCUUUUGUCUCAAAAUAUUUGUUAUUUUAGAUGUUCAUGAUAAAAUUAACUUUUUUUUUCUUAUUUUACCUUUAAUUGUAAAUACUCAUUUUUGAAGACUAAAUACACUUCAAACAUAUAUUAUAUAAAUAGAGAAAUCAAUAAAAAUAGAUUAUAUCUGAAGACAUUAAUAAGGAUAAAAUAUCAUUACUCCUAACUAAUAUUUUCUUAAAAACGUGUAAAUAAAAAAUACAACAAGUGUUCUGAGACAUAGCUAGUAGUAUAUGUCAAGUGCACCAAUAGUUAUCACAAUUAAUUUAGCUAAUGUUUGACCAUAGAUAUUUGAAAGUAAAUUUUAAAACUUUAUCAUUCAAAUAUUUUUUUCCAAGGGAUAGCUUAGUAGUAGAGUGGUCUUACCUAUUGAUCGUAAUACAACAUUAAAUUUUAAAAAUUACAAUGUCAAUAACUCAAUUUUUCAAAUUUCAACUUUAAAAUUUAUAAUUAAUCCAGAGUUUAGCUAUCAAGUGAUAUGUCGGUACAAAUUAAUAUAUUAAUGAGUACUAGGCGUAUGAGUUUGUCUGCAAUAAUUCUAAACCCAUAUUCUAUUCUAUUUUUUUCUCCAAUAAAAGCCAUAGAAAAAGACGAAUAAUUGUGAUGGGGGACUCAUUAUUAGGGGUUUGAUAACUAUACCUUGCAUUUUAUAUUGCAACUAGUACGUGCGUAUGAAACAAGACUAGUUGCACUAUUUAGAAGCAAAUAUAAAAGACAACUAGAUAAUGGUUACCAGAUUCACAUGGAUUGUAGUACAGUGGUGAAUUGCUCCACCCUUAAUCAGAGGUUUCAAGUUCGAGCUUUGAGUAUGAAGAAAAUUCUGUUGAGAGCGCCGCUCCAAAAGACACUGCAGUGUGCAAUUCAAAUUUAAUUGAGGCUCCAACACAUGUUCUAGAUACCGGAUGAAAAACCAAAAACAAAAAAAAUAAUGAUUACCCGUAUGUGUUUUGUCAAAUUAAAUGAAAUUAUCUCUUGGCCUGAUUGGUCCAUCUUUAAGUACGCUAGAGCCUAGCUGAAUAAGUGUUUUUUUAAUAUACAUGCAGUGAAAAGUAAACUAAAAAUAAUAGUAAUAAUUAAAAUCAGAGAUCAAAUCAAUUUGGCAUUAUAUAUAAAAUUUUAAAAUUUAUUUUUAUACAUAAAAAUAUUUAUUUUGAUAUAAUUUGUAAAUAUUUCUUAUACUUUUUCAUAAUUCUUAUCUUUUAACAUAUUAUUUCAAGUUUUGAGACGUAAAAUUUUGAAUGGUCCAAUGAAGGUUAUAGUCCAUAGGUAUUGGUAACUCUAAUAAAACUUGAACCACUACUAAUGCUAACAAAAAAAAAAUUAAUUCAACACUAAGAAUGACAAUAAUGUCCAAUAUUUGUUUUUUAGUUUUACAUUGACUUAAACAUUUAAAAUACAUUAUUUAAUUUUAGUUUUCUUUAAUGUUUAAUCAUGUAAUUAAUACUUAUUAGACUUAUUAGCAUGAUUUAGUACUUUUAAUCAUUUUCAUUAUGACUUAUUAAUUUUCAAUAUUUAUUUUAUGGGAUUUCAUUAUUAUUUUUUGUUGGAUAUUUUAGUGUAAUCACUUAUCUCAUAUUUUGUGUUAUUCUCUUACGAAACUCCUUAGAUAGUUGUAUUUUGGUAGGACUAAGGUAAUUAGAUGUUUGUAUGAAUAAUUUACCGGAAAACCCCGAAAAAAUUUGAUAACCCGAGUUUGAAAAAUCAAUUAGUUUUAUUAAUUUGAUUUGGUUUAUAUAUUUAAAAUACGACAUAAAUAGUUUGGUUUGAUAAUUAAAAACUCAUAACCAACUCGGCCAUGUACAUCCCAUUGGAAUAAAAAUGUUUUGGGAACAAAAAACGAUAUUGUUAAUUUUAUAAAUUUAAUAGUUGUGAGAACCAUUUUCAAACUAAGGUACGUAAAGAGCACGUAAACGAAAUUAAGAGAAAGUCAGCUAUAUUAUCAUGUUAUGACACACGUUGAUUGAGAGUCUUAUUUAAGCCACUAUAUCCAUGAUCACAAUAUCUUCUUUAUUCUCUUUCAUCUAUUUGGUUAUAUAAAAACAUGAAUAAUAUGUGGUUUUUCACUAUUCUCUUAUUUUUUUCAACUAUAGUAGCCAUGGCAUUGCCCUCCAAUGUUGGUUAUCCCGUCCCACAACUUGACUGUCUUAGCUGGCGCCUCGCCGUGGAGACGAACAACCUCCAAAACUGGAAAACUAUGUAGGUCACUACAUGUUAGGCAAAGUACAAUAUCGACGUGACUGUGAGUAUGUUGCCAAGCAGGCUAUUGAAUAUGCCAAAAAGGCCUCAAACUAAAUAGAGAUGGAAAGGACGUUUGGGUCUUUGAUGUUGAUGACACUACUCUCUCAAAUCUUCCUUACUACGCUCGAUCUGAUGUUCGUUUUGGGUAACAAAAAUAAAUUAUAAUUUCUUUUUUACUACAUUUUUUUAAUAGGGAAAAAUGACAAAUAUUCCCUCGAACUAUCGUAAAUGGUUUGCAGAUACCCUCCGUCAGAUUUUUGGGAUAUUGGUGCCCCGCCAUCCAAAAACUAGAGCAUAUAUACCCUUUAUACUAACGGAUAUACACGUGUGAUAAUCUUAUCCACCGACUCGACAUUUAUUAAAUAUUAGAUCGACGGAUAAGAUUGUCACUAUUUCGUUAGAGUUAAGGGCAUAUAUGCUCUAGCUUUUGGACAACAGGGACAUUAAUGACCCAAAAGUAUGAUGAAUGGUAUAUGCAUACCAUUUAUGAUAGUUCAGGGGUAUAUUUAUCCUUUUCCCCUUUUUUAUAUAUAUGCAACUAGUGAUGUCAUACGUAAUUUUGUUUACAGGACUAUAGCGUUGAGCAAUACAAAGUUUAUUGAGUGGCUUGCUGAGGGAAAAUUGCCAGUCAUUCCUUCGAUACAGGGUGUAUACAAGACCUUGUUAUCUCUUGGGAUCAAGCCCUUUUUAAUUACAGGGGCUCCAGAGAAUUUUAGACAAUCAAGGAUUUCUAAUCUCAAGAAAGCUGGUUAUAGUAACUGAUUAAAACUCGUACUAAGGUAAUUAACCGAUACUUCUACUCAUAUCUUAUUUUACAUGACACUAUUUAAGUAUGUUUCGAACAUUUAUAUAGAUAUAGAGUAAUACUUUGACAUGAUUAUAUUAUUGCAGGGGUGGAAAUGAUUCGAAAUCAGCAGUAGAGUAUAAAUCGAGCAAGAGAAUGGAGUGGGUAAAAGAUGGAUAUAGAAUUGGUAAUAUUGGAGAUCAAUGGACUGAUUUAAUCGGAGAAAACGUUGGAGCUCGUACUUUCAAAGUCCCUAACCCUAUGUACUACGUUGGUUAAUUCUAAGAAAUAUUAAGCAUGCUAAUAAUUAACAAAGGAAGCAAGUAACUUUUUAAUUUCGUCACAUGUGAGAUAUGAUUAUAAGCUCACUGUUCCACUAUAAUUUACUACUCCCUCCGUCCCUAUUUACUUGUCCAUAUUUCCUUUUUUUGUUGUCCCUAUUUAGUUGUCCAUUUUGACAAAUCAAGAAAGGACAACAAAUUUUUUCCUAUUAUACCUUUAUUUAUACUUCUUGAAAAUUGUAAAAGUGUAUGUUGUUUCCCUCCAAUUUAUUUCACUUGAAUUCAAAUAAGUGAUUGUAAUUUUGAAGUAAAAAGUUGUCAUAAGGGUAAAAUUGUAACUUCACUGUGCUAAUCAUUGUUGUCUUAAUUUGUGUGCCAUUUCUAAAGUGGACAACUAAAAAGGGACGGAGGGAGUAUCAUGUAUUUGACUUUUCCUUUUUCCUUUUCCCACUCCCUUUAUCAUAAUAAUAAAGAAUUGCUUCAAUUUUCUUUUUUCUCAAUUGGCAAUUGCAUUCCUUUAUUUUAAAAUUAUGAAAUGUUUUAGUUUCAUCAGUAUAUAAGGCCUCUCUAACAAAAAUACUUUUAGGGGUAAUAAAUAUACAUAUAUUGACAAAUAGGGAUAAAUAUUUAUCGGCAUGCAUUAGUUAAUUGUCAAUGAAUUCAAUGUCAUUAUAGGCUUUAGGGACAUUUACACACAGGGCUAAUUACCGAUAAAUUGAAAUAUAUAUUUAGCGGCAAUUAAACUAUUGUCGUAAAUAAAUUACGCGAAAGAUCAUUUUUUUAAAAUUAGUGAACGCACAAUUAACAUCUUAUUUUAUUGAGGAACUUUCGCAUAUAGCCACUCAAAAAUAGCCCAAUUACUCUCCAUAUCUAUAGUUUGAUAAUUACAAUUCGUAGCUACAUGUAAUAGGGAGGAGAGAGGCAAGCGAGACUGGGAGAUAGAGGAGAGAGGCGAGCGAGAGAGGGCAAAGAGUGGGAGAGAGGUGAAUUGUAUAUGUACAUCGGUUAGAUAAUUGUAUAUUAUACAUAUGCAUUUGUGUAUAUGGCAAGCGAGAUUGGGAGAGGGGGGGAGAGGCGAGCGAGACUGGGAGAGGGAGGAGAGAGGUGAGCGAGAGAGGACAAUAAUUUGUAUAAUUCACAUCUCAUUUGUAUAAUUCACGUUGUUUUUGUAUUAAUUGAGUAAUAUAAAGUCUGGAAUUUAUACAAAUAUAAUAAAACUCGAAAUAACAAAUUGAUACAAAUAUAAAUAUAUGAACUUUUAAACAUUUAUACAAAAUAUAUUAUACAAAUUACAUUAUAUAAAUUAUAUUAUACAAAAUCCAAAAACUACACGUUUAUACAAACUUUAAAAAGUUAUACACAAAAAGAUUGAAUGUAUAUGAUGACAAAACUGAAAACCCAAAGGAUAUCAUCGUCAUAUACAAUUAUAAACAAUCGUAUACAAAUACAAAUCAAACAAAGAAUUGUUAGCUGCGAAUUAUACAAAUAUGGCGAAUUAUACAUAUACAAACGUGACUAAUAUACAAACUGGUAGUCAGCCCACAUAAUUAAUGUAUAAUGUUAGUCGUGAGUGAUAAUUAUAGCAAAACUAUAGCUAUGAUGAGUAAUUAAAUAGUAUAAGUUUGUUUAACCGCGUAAUUUUCCCUAUUUUAUUUAUAGACAUAUAUUUUUUUGUCAGCUAAAAUAUCAUCAGUCUGUUGCAUGUAAAUAACUAGGUGGUUAUAUACAAUUAACAUGACAAUAACAAAUAUUUAAUCAGGCUCAAUAGAUUUUAUUAAUUAGCUAGUAAACCAACAUCUUAAUUAACGUAUACAGUGGAGAUGACCAAAUUUUCCAAGCAUAUACUUGUAUUUUAAAAUCAAAUUUAUACACAUCUUAUAUUAUGAAAAUUGUACACAGCUUACACCUCUAUACAAUAUAUUCAUUGAAACUAAUAUACUAAUAUAUGACUAGUAAAAGAUAAAUUGGAAUUGUAAACAAUUUUUUAAUGUAAUUUUCAUAUAAUUUUGAAGCAAAAGAAUUUUAAAAAACGAAUAUAAAAAUGAGAAAUUUCUAUAUAAUAAAAUAUUAUAAUUAAUAAAAAUAUUGAUAACUUACAUGUUCAAAUUGUAAUGAACUACAAAAAAAUCAAUCAAAUUGACAAAAACAAGAAUAAAAAAAAAAAAAGACGCAGGAAAAAGGAAGAAAAUAAAAUCUGAAUCAGUAUUAAUUUUUUUUUUAUAUCUAUGUAUUUUUUGUCAAAUAAAAAUCAAGAUUAUGAAAAGAGAAGAAAAAAAAUACAUAAAAAGAGAAUUUAGAAAGUGAUGUUAAAAAAAGAAAAGGAGAAGUAAGGGAAUGGACCCUCAAUAGUAUAUUUUUGACAUGGUAUGCCCCCGCCCACCUUAAAAAAUGUUAAUCCAACUUAAUUGAUCACACCUGUUAUUGCCAAAAUAUCUUGGUGUAUUCCGGACCCAGGACCCAGGACCCAGUUCUAGGGUUUUGGAUUGUUCAGUUCAGUGGUCGAUUUGGCCAAAUUGUCUUCAUUCCAAUUUCCAAUAUAUAUAUAUAUAUUUCAACUAAUACAAUUAACAUAGAACGUUACUUAACAAACUUAUAUUAUAUUAAACAUGGGAAACUGAAAAUCCUCCUUCCCAAAACCUAACAUCUUAAAAGGUAUUUUUUCAGUUUCAAAAUUAAUGACCUCAUUUUCUUUUUAGUUUGUUUUAAAAAGAAUGACUCUUUUCUUUUUUUUGAAAACAUUUUAAUUUCAGUUUUUCACAUAACAUGUUUAAUACUAGAAGAUUAAAGAACAUCUUGAUACAUUUUACAUAACUUUAAUUUUAAAUCACAAAAUAGAGAAGUCUUUUUUAUUUUUCUUCAACUCCGUAACAAGUCAAAUCAGAUCUCUUUUUUUUUUUUUUAAACGUAGAGGAGUACAAGCGCUAAGUUACAAAGUAAAUGACAAAGAAAAAAAAGUUUUUAACAAAAACUCUAAAGAGAACCACAUAAUGCUUAUCUUGUCAAAUGUUGUGAAAAACGUGAUGACCUAGCUGUUUGAUUGAUUUUUAGGAAGUUGAGAUUGAGGCUCUUAUUUAAGACACCCUAUCCUAGGUAUAUGGUCACAACAUCUUCUUUCUUCUCUUCCAUCAAAAUGAGGUCAUGUUUCACUAUUCUCUAGUUAUUUUCAGCGAUAGUAGCUGUGGCAUUGGCCUCUAAUGUUGAAGAGGUGAUAAGCCAAGUAGUAGAAAUUCACCGUCUAAGGCCACAAGUAGUAAAAUUCACACUAAUUUUAUUCAAACAUCAUACCAUUUUCAUGUGCACUAUGACAUUCAUCAAUCUACUUUCAUAAAUUUAUCGACAUACACAAAAAACAAUUUAACAAUUUUAAUACAUUAAUGGAUAAAUUGAAAAAGAAACCUUCUUAAUAGGAAAAAUCCCAAUUUCAUAUAAAAAUUAUUCAAAAUUACAGAGUAAUUAAACAAUUCAUACAAAUUGCAUACCAAUUUAAUAAUUCAUACCAUAUACACAAUUUAAGAGAUAAUCACAUCAAUGUUAAUAUACAAUUCAUACCAUUUGCAUAUCAAUAUUGUAUCAAAAUUCAUACAAUAUCCAUUAAUCCAACAUUAAAUUCAGAUUCAUACACAUUUUUUUCAGAUUUCGAACAAUAUUUACACAAACAAAUAUUUCGAAAACAACAAUAAGCAUAAUGUGAUAUAAAAAAAUCACUAUUUUGACUACUGUGAAAAUAAAUAAAAUAUAGUACUCAUCCUAACAACUUUUUUUGUGUUUUUUGGAUGUUGAUAUUUCUGAUUCCUCUUUUUUGUUGUUCUUCUUGUUGAUGGUUUUGAAGAUUGAGCAACUUCUACAUUUGUUUUUUUUUCUUUUUUCUUUUUGAUUUCACUAGCAAAAUCAGAAUCGUAAUCAGAAGGGUUUCAAUAAUUUUCCCCUUCCUCUUCUUCCCCUUUUGAUUUGCCUGGAUCGCCCUUUUCUUUGCUUCAUUUUUUUUCUCUUUCCGAUCCUUCAACUGAGAUGAACCACCCGUUGCCUGAUUUUCAAUACUCGCCGGAUUUUCAACAAAUUUAGGCGGGGGGUUGAGUUAAUAUAUUAAAAGUUGGAGCAUGAACUUCAUCAGUAGAAGUUCCUUCAACCAAUCUGGAACUCUUUCGAGGCGUUUCAAUGGGUUUCUUAGACAUGAUUUUGUUGAAAACUUAAUUGGACGGACGAUUGUGAAAAUGGUGUAGUUGGCUGGUGAGAAAAAUGGGAGAGACAAGGUGAAAGUGGGGUAGUGGGGGUGAUGGCGUGUAGAUUUGAAUAGGCGUGGAUGGAGGGUGGUGGGAUUGAGGUAUGGGAGGUUUGGAGUGUAACAUUAAACAAGGAAGUCUAAUCUGUGUAAAUCCCUUAAUAUGUGUAACUGAUGAUUUCAGUUUUAAAAAAGGAAUUGAAAUCUAAUUAAUUAAAUAUUAUUCAUUAAUAAAAUAAAAAUAUAAACAGAUUAAUCAUUUGUUAAAUAAAUUGAAAUUGAUUUUUAAAUUAAAUUAAAUAUAUAUAUAUUAUUUAUAAUAAAAGAACUUGAAAAAAUGACUAUAGUUUAUACUUAAUUAGAGAUCUAUAGUUAUAAUUUGCUUCAUAACAAUUAAUAGCUCUAGGUAAGAAAGAAGAGAAAUCUAAACAAGAUAUAUAUGUAUUUGCUUUUCUAAGAAUAUAUAUAUUCUUUAUAUCGGUAUAGUACUUAUCAUUGAAGUUAUUUAAAUUAUGAACUCCAAAAAAUCAAUCAAAUUGACAAAAACAAGAAUAAAAAAAAGGCGCAGGAAAAAAGGAAGAAAAUAAAAUCUGAAUCAGUAUUAAUUUUUUUAUAUCUAUGUAAUUUUUGUCAAAUAAAAAUCAAGAAUAUGAAAAGAGAAAGGAAAAAAAAAUACAUAAAAGGAGAAUUUAAAAAGUAUUGUUAGAAAGAAAAAAAAGAGAAGUUAUAAUGAAAUGGACCCUCAAUAGUAUAUUUUUGACAUGGUAUACCUCGCCCGCCCUAAAAUUUUCAAUACAACUUAAUUGAUCAUGUGGAUCACACCUGUUAAACAAUAUAGUAUCGACUGUUAUGGUUAUUUAAUGCGAUUAAUUGAAAGCCAAAAUAUCUUGGUGUAUUCUGGACCCAGGACCAAAUUCUAGGGUUUUGGAUUGUUCAGUGAUCGAUUUGGCCAAAUAGUCUUCAUUCCAAUUCAAAGUAUAUAUAUUUCAACUAAUACAAUUAACAUUGGAAAAAUGAAAAUCCUAUUUGCCAAAACCAGACCUUUUAAAAAGUACUUCCUCUCCUCUGUUUAAAAAAUAAUGACUUUCUUUUCUUUUUAGUUUAUUUUUAUAAAAAUGAUCUUUUCUCCUUUUUUGACACAUUUCACAUAACUUUAAUUUUAAAUCACAAAAUAGAGAAGUCUUUUUUAUUUUUCUUCAACUCCGUAACAAGUCAAAUCAGAUCUCUUUUUUUUUUUUUAAACGAGAGGAGUACAAGCGCUAAGUUACAAAGUAAAUGACAAAGAAAAAAAAAGUUUUUAACAAAAACUCUAAAGAGAACCACAUAAUGCUUAUCUUGUCAAAUGUUGUGAAAAACGUGAUGACCUAGCUGUUUGAUUGAUUUUUAGGAAGUUGAGAUUGAGGCUCUUAUUUAAGACACCCUAUCCUAGGUAUAUGGUCACAACAUCUUCUUUCUUCUCUUCCAUCAAAAUGAGGUCAUGUUUCACUAUUCUCUUGUUAUUUUCAGCUAUAGUAGCUGUGGCAUUGGCCUCUAAUGAGGAAGAUCAUCAGGUGAUAAGCCAAGUAGUAGAAAUUCACCGUCUAAGGCCACAAACUGGUUCUGCUGGUUAUACCGUCCCACAAUUGGACUGUCUUAGCUGGCGACUCGCGGUGGAGACGAACAACCUCCAAAACUGGAAAUUGGUGCCUAAAGAAUGUACAAACUAUGUAGGUCAUUACAUGUUAGGCAAACAAUAUCGCCACGACUGUGAAUAUGUAGCCAAGCAGGCUAUUGAGUAUGCCAAAAGCCUCAAACUUAGUGGAGAUGGAAUGGACGUUUGGGUAUUUGAUAUUGAUGAAACCACUCUCUCAAAUUCUCCUUACUACGCUCGAUC
rnacentral:lncRNA from 1 species